GACAGUGUGGCCGAGUGGUUAAGGCGAAAGACUUGAAAUCUUUUCCCGCAAGGGUCGCAGGUUCGAAUCCUGUCACUGUCG
rnacentral:tRNA from 1 species